ensembl:lncRNA
AUACGGGUUUAAAAAAAGAAAUAACUUGACUGGCAUCAAUGAAUAGAAUUAACAUUUUAAAACAAUAUAAUUAACAUCUAAAAGAAAAAAUAUGCAUCCUGGGGUUGGGAAAUCCAGUUCAUAUUAAAAAAAGAAGCCAGGAAAGGAAUUAUUAUUGGACAUCCCUCUCAGGCAAUGGAAAUGAUAGAAAUCUCUCCACGACCUGUCUGCCUCUUUGACCAUAGGUGGCAGUUCCAAUUUUGCUCCCCAAGAAGUUCUUUCCUAUUGUCCAGCUGUUCUCUGCUGGAAUCCUUCUUAUGCAGUUCCACCUGUUGAGCUCUAUUUAUAUCGGAGCCAUCCUGGGACCACAAAGAGAGCUGGGUAGGAGCAGGUGUGGACACAGCAUGGACUCUUUAUUUAGUUCAGCUGAACUUUUUCUGGCCACGGAGGGAAGGAAGAGAGGCUCAGAAGAAAGGGUUCAAUCACCUGGGACUUGCACCGAUUAGCCAUUUCCCCAGCUUCUCCAUUCUGCUUGUCACAGAAGAAGAAGGCACUUGUUGAUGGAGUGCCCUUUGUCAAAGGAAGCUUUCUGAAGCUCAGGCUUCUCCUGAAGUACAUGGUUCAGAUCAGCAGCCUUUUUGAGUGUACUAAUCAAUGAACCAUACAGCAAGCCAAAGAACCUGGGCACCUGUGGCCAUUUAGCAUUAAACCCAUGUAGUCAGGCUCAUAGCUACCAAAAAACCAAACCCACCAACCCUGGGAAAGUUGAAAACCCUUGAGUAGUUCAGUCAAAGGAAGUUUGGGGGCAGCUGAGUGGCUCAGUGGACAGAGAUCCAGGCCUCAAGACCAGAGGUCCUAGGUUCAAAUCUGACCCGAGACAUUUCUUCAUUUUGUAACUCUGGGUAACUACUUCACCCCCAUUGCCUAGCCCUUACAGCUCUUCUGCUUUAGAAUCAAUAUACAGUAUUGAUUAUAAGAUGGAAGGUUAGGGUUUCAAAAGUAAAAAGUAAGCCCAGUAGCUAUGGC